rnacentral:rRNA from 1 species
UACGUAGGGGGCGAGCGUUGUCCGGAUUUAUUGGGCGUAAAGAGCUCGUAGGCGGUUCGGUAAGUCGGGUGUGAAAACUCCAGGCUCAACCUGGAGAUGCCACUCGAUACUGCUGUGACUUGAAUCUGGUAGGGGAGCACGGAAUUCCUGGUGUAGCGGUGAAAUGCACAGAUAUCAGGAGGAACACCGGUGGCGAAGGCGGUGCUCUGGGCCAGUAUUGACGCUGAGGAGCGAAAGCGUGGGGAGCGAACAGG